rnacentral:rRNA from 1 species
AUAACGGUCCUAAGGUAGCGAAAUUCCUUGUCAGGUAAGUUCUGACCCGCACGAAUGGCGUAACGACUUGAGAGCUGUCUCAACAACAUACCCGGCGAAAUUGAAGUACUGGUAAAGAUGCCAGUUACCCGUGAUAAGACGGAAAGACCCCAUGGAGCUUUACUGUAACUUGAUAUUGAAUUUUUGUAUUACAUGUACAGGAUAGGUGGGAGACAGAGAACUAAUGCCGCCAGGUGUUAGGGAGUCGAUGUUGGGAUACCACUCUUGUAAUAUGAAGGUUCUAACCUGCACCCGUGAAUCCGGGUGGGGGACACUGUCAGGUGGACAGUUUGACUGGGGCGGUCGCCUCCUAAAAGGUAACGGAGGCGUUCAAAGGUUGGUUCAGCACGGACGGAAAUCGUGCAACGAGUGCAAACGCAUAAACCAGCCUAACUGCGAGACCGACAAGUCGAGCAGUAACGAAAGUUGGAGUUAGUGAUCCGGCGGUAUGAGAGUGGAAUUGCCGUCGCUCAACGGAUAAAAGCUACCCUGGGGAUAACAGGCUGAUCUCCCCCAAGAGUCCACAUCGACGGGGAGGUUUGGCACCUCGAUGUCGGCUCAUCGCAUCCUGGAGCUGAAGUCGGUCCCAAGGGUUGGGCUGUUCGCCCAUUAAAGCGGUACGCGAGCUGGGUUCAGAACGUCGCGAGACAGUUCGGUCCCUAUCUAUCACGGGCGUAGGAAAUUUGAGGAGAGCUGACCUUAGUACGAGAGGACCGGGUUGGACGUACCGCUGGUGCACCUGUUGUUCUGCCAAGGGCAUAGCAGGGUAGCUAAGUACGGACGGGAUAAACGCUGAAGGCAUCUAAGCGUGAAGCCCCCUUCGAGAUAAGAUUUCCCAUAGCGUAGGCUAGUAAGGACCCAUGAAGACUACAUGGUUGAUAGGCCGGAGGUGGAAGUGCAGUAAUGUAUGUAGCUGACCGGUACUAAUAGUCCGAGGGCUUGACCAA